UUCAUUCAAAUUUCUGCCCUAUCAACUUUCGAUGGUAGUGUAGUGGACUACCAUGGUUAUAACGGGUAACGGGGAAUUAGGGUUCGGUUCCGGAGAGGGAGCCUGAGAGAUGGCUACCACUUCCAAGGAAGGCAGCAGGCGCGCAAAUUACCCAAUUACAAUACGUAGAGGUAGUGACAAUAAAUAACGAUACAGGCACCGCAAGGUGCUUGUAAUCGGAAUGAGAGCAAUUCAAAACCCUCAUCGAGGAUCAAUUGGAGGACAAGUCUGGUGCCAGCACCCGCGGUAAUUCCAGCUCCAAUAUCGUAUAUUAAAGUUGUUGCAGUUAAAAAGCUCGUAGUUGAACUUCAGGCUCCUGGGGGUGCUGUCUCUCGGGAAGAGAAGUACGGCCUCCCUAGAGCCAUCGUCCGGCUGGUCCUGCCUGCACUUAGGUGUGUGGGUAGGCGCCUCCGGACCGUUUACUUUGAAAAAAUUAGAGUGUUUAAAGCAGUCGCUACUGCCCUGAAUAUAUUAGCAUGGGAUAAUGGAACAGGACCCCGCUCCUGUUUGUUGGUUUCGAGGGAUGGGGUAAUGAUUAAUAGGGACCGUUGGGGGUAUUCGUAUUUAAUUGUCAGAGGUGAAAUUCUUGGAUUUAUGAAAGACGAACCACAGCGAAAGCAUUUACCAAGGACGCUCCCAUUAAUCAAGAACGAAAGUUAAGGGAUCGAAGACGAUCAGAUACCGUCGUAGUCUUAACUAUAAACGAUCCGACCACGGAUCAGGGAUCGUCCUAUGGAUGACUUUCCUGGCACGUUAGGGGAAACCAUAAGUCUUUGGGUUCCGGGGGGAGUAUGGUCGCAAGGCUGAAACUUAAAGGAAUUGACGGAAGAGCACACCAGGAGUGGAGCCUGCGGCUUAAUUUGACCCAACACGGGGAAACUCAUCAGGUCCAGACAUAGUAAGGAUUGACAGAUUGAUAGCUCUUUCUUGAUUCUAUGGGUGGUGGUGCAUGGCCGUUCUUAGUGCGUGGAGUGAUUUGUCAGGUUAAUUCCGUUAACGAACGAGACCUCGGCUUGCUAACUAGUGCGUUCGGUCACCUAUAUGGGUGAAGCAUUUCUGGUCGGGGGUGGCUUAGGCUGCCCUCAUCGGGAGUGUGGAUCCCUGGCUGACUGUUGGCCACUUCUUAGAAGGACUACUUAUGGAGAGUAAGUGGAAGCUCGAGGCAAUAACAGGUCUGUGAUGCCCUUAGAUGUCCUGAGCUGCACGCGCGCUACUCUGACUUCCCCAACGAGUCUACCUGGGUCGAAAGGCUUGGGUACUCUUCUGAAGGGUAGUCGUGAUGGGGAUAGAUCAUUGCAAUUAUUGGUCUUCAACGAGGAAUUCCUAGUAAUCGCAAGUCAUCAGCUUGCGAUGAUUACGUCCCUGCUCUUUGUACACACCGCCCGUCGCUGCUACCAAUUGAAUGAUCCGGUGAAAAGUUCGGACCAGGGGUCUGCUGGGUCUCCCAGCUGGCUCUCGGGAAGUUCUGUAAACCUUAUCAUUUAGAGGAAGCAGAAGUCGUAACAAGGUA
rnacentral:rRNA from 1 species